AGAGCGAACGCUGGCGGCGUGCUUAACACAUGCAAGUCGAACGCGCAGCAUUCUGUAGCAAUACAGGGUGUGGGCGCGUGGCGAACGGGUGCGUAACACGUGGAUAACCUUCCUUCAGGUGGGGAAUAACCCAGUGAAAAUUGGGCUAAUACCGCAUAACAAAACGAUGAGACAUCUUGUUGUUUUCAAAGGCGCAAGUCGCCAGAAGAGGGAUCCGCGGCCGAUUAGCUUGUUGGCGGGGUAAUGGCCCACCAAGGCAAUGAUCGGUAGCCGGACUGAGAGGUUGGCCGGCCACACUGGAACUGAGACACGGUCCAGACUCCUACGGGAGGCAGCAGUGGGGAAUCUUGCACAAUGGGCGAAAGCCUGAUGCAGCAACGCCGCGUGGGGAUGAAGCUUCUCGGAGUGUAAACCCCUUUCGACCCGGAAGAAAGCCCGCAAGGGUUUGACGGUACGGGUAUAAGAAGCCCGGCUAACUACGCGCCAGCAGCCGCGGU
rnacentral:rRNA from 1 species